UGGGGAAUUUUGGACAAUGGGCGAAAGCCUGAUCCAGCAAUGCCGCGUGUGUGAAGAAGGCCUUCGGGUUGUAAAGCACUUUUGUCCGGAAAGAAAUCCUUGGCUCUAAUACAGUCGGGGGAUGACGGUACCGGAAGAAUAAGCACCGGCUAACUACGUGCCAGCAGCCGCGGUAAUACGUAGGGUGCAAGCGUUAAUCGGAAUUACUGGGCGUAAAGCGUGCGCAGGCGGUUUGCUAAGACCGAUGUGAAAUCCCCGGGCUCAACCUGGGAACUGCAUUGGUGACUGGCAGGCUAGAGUAUGGCAGAGGGGGGUAGAAUUCCACGUGUAGCAGUGAAAUGCGUAGAGAUGUGGAGGAAUACCGAUGGCGAAGGCAGCCCCCUGGGCCAAUACUGACGCUCAUGCACGAAAGCGUGGGGAGCAAACAGGAUUAGAUACCCUGGUAGUCCACGCCCUAAACGAUGUCAACUAGUUGUUGGGGAUUCAUUCCUUAGUAACGUAGCUAACGCGUGAAGUUGACCGCCCGGGGAGUACGGUCGCAAGAUUAAAACUCAAAGGAAUUGACGGGGUCAUAGCUGUUUCCU
rnacentral:rRNA from 1 species